GUGGGGAAUAUUGGACAAUGGGCGCAAGCCUGAUCCAGCCAUGCCGCGUGAGUGAUGAAGGCCUUAGGGUUGUAAAGCUCUUUCAGUGGGGACGAUAAUGACGGUACCCACAGAAGAAGCCCCGGCUAACUUCGUGCCAGCAGCCGCGGUAAUACGAAGGGGGCUAGCGUUGUUCGGAUUUACUGGGCGUAAAGCGCACGUAGGCGGAUCGUUAAGUCGGGGGUGAAAUCCUGGAGCUCAACUCCAGAACUGACUUCGAUACUGGCGAUCUUGAGGCCGGAAGAGGUGAGUGGAACUCCUAGUGUAGAGGUGGAAUUCGUAGAUAUUAGGAAGAACUCCAGUGGCGAAGGCGGCUCACUGGUCCGGUACUGACGCUGAGGUGCGAAAGCGUGGGGAGCAAACAGGAUUAGAAACCCUUGUAGUCC
rnacentral:rRNA from 1 species